rnacentral:rRNA from 1 species
CGCUGGCGGCAUGCUUUACACAUGCAAGUCGAACGGCAGCGCGGGGCAACCUGGCGGCGAGUGGCGAACGGGUGAGUAAUAUAUCGGAACGUACCCAAGAGUGGGGGAUAACGUAGCGAAAGUUACGCUAAUACCGCAUACGAUCUAAGGAUGAAAGCAGGGGAUCUUCGGACCUUGUGCUCCUGGAGCGGCCGAUAUCUGAUUAGCUAGUUGGUGAGGUAAAGGCUCACCAAGGCGACGAUCAGUAGCUGGUCUGAGAGGACGACCAGCCACACUGGAACUGAGACACGGUCCAGACUCCUACGGGAGGCAGCAGUGGGGAAUUUUGGACAAUGGGCGAAAGCCUGAUCCAGCAAUGCCGCGUGAGUGAAGAAGGCCUUCGGGUUGUAAAGCUCUUUUGUCAGGGAAGAAACGGGAGUGGCUAAUAUCCAUUCCUAAUGACGGUACCUGAAGAAUAAGCACCGGCUAACUACGUGCCAGCAGCCGCGGUAAUACGUAGGGUGCAAGCGUUAAUCGGAAUUACUGGGCGUAAAGCGUGCGCAGGCGGUUUUGUAAGUCUGUCGUGAAAUCCCCGGGCUCAACCUGGGAAUUGCGAUGGAGACUGCAAGGCUAGAAUCUGGCAGAGGGGGGUAGAAUUCCACGUGUAGCAGUGAAAUGCGUAAAGAUGUGGAGGAACACCGAUGGCGAAGGCAGCCCCCUGGGUCAAGAUUGACCCUCAUGCACGAAAGCGUGGGGAGCAAACAGGAUUAGAUACCCUGGUAGUCCACGCCCUAAACGAUGUCUACUAGUUGUCGGGUUUUAAUUAACUUGGUAACGCAGCUAACGCGUGAAGUAAACCGCCUGGGGAGUACGGUCGCAAG